rnacentral:rRNA from 1 species
AACAGGAUUUAGAUAACCCUGGGUAGUUACACGCCGUAAAACGAUGGAUAGCUAGCCCGUCGGGCAGGUUUACCUGUCGGUGGCGCAGCUAACGCAUUAAGCAUCCCCGCCUGGGGGAGUACGGUCGCAAAGAUUAAAACUCAAAAGGAAUUGACGGGGGCCCGCACAAGCGGGUGGAGCAUGUGGUUUUAAUUUCGAAGCAACGCGCAGAACCUUACCAGCCCUUGACAUCCCGGUCGCGGGUUCGAGAGAUCGAACCCUUCAGUUCAGCUGGACCGGUGACAGGUGCUGCAUGGCUGUCGUCAGCUCGUGUCGUGAGAUGUUGGGUUAAGUCCCGCAACGAGCGCAACCUUCGCCCCUAGUUGCCAUCAUUCAGUUGGGCACUCUAGGGGGACUGCCGGUGAUAAGCCGCGAGGAAGGUGAAGAUGACGUCAAGUCCUCAUGGCCCUUACGGGCUGGGCUACACACGUGCUACAAUGGUGGUGACAGUGGGCAGCGAGACCGCGAGGUCGAGCUAAUCUCCAAAAGCCAUCUCAGUUCGGAUUGCACUCUGCAACUCGAGUGCAUGAAGUUGGAAUCGCUAGUAAUCGUGGAUCAGCAUGCCACGGUGAAUACGUUCCCGGGCCUUGUACACACCGCCCGUCACACCAUGGGAGUUGGCUUUACCCGAAGGCACUGUGCUAACCGCAAGGAGGCAGGUGACCACGGUAGGGUCAGCGACUGGGGUGAAGUCGUAACAAGGUAACC